rfam:Chania multitudinisentens RB-25, complete genome.
CAGCAUGUUGGUAGCUGAAAGCCAAGGGCGGUAGCGUA